rnacentral:rRNA from 1 species
CUCAACCUGGGAACUGCAUUCGAAACUGGCAGGCUUGAGUCUUGUAGAGGGGGGUAGAAUUCCAGGUGUAGCGGUGAAAUGCGUAGAGAUCUGGAGGAAUACCGGUGGCGAAGGCGGCCCCCUGGACAAAGACUGACGCUCAGGUGCGAAAGCGUGGGGAGCAAACAGGAUUAGAUACCCUGGUAGUCCACGCCGUAAACGAUGUCUACUUGGAGGUUGUGCCCUUGAGGCGUGGCUUCCGGAGCUAACGCGUUAAGUAGACCGCCUGGGGAGUACGGCCGCAAGGUUAAAACUCAAAUGAAUUGACGGGGGCCCGCACAAGCGGUGGAGCAUGUGGUUUAAUUCGAUGCAACGCGAAGAACC